rnacentral:rRNA from 1 species
GACGAACGCUGGCGGCGUGCCUAAUACAUGCAAGUCGAACGCAGUGGGGACGGGUGAGUAACACGUGGGUAACCUCCCAUCAGAGGGGAUAACACUUGGAAACAGGUGCUAAACCGAUACUGAUGGAUGGACCCGCGGUGCAUUAGCUAGUGGGUGAGGUAACGGCUCACCAAGGCCACGAUGCAUAGUCGACCUGAGAGGGUGUUCGGCCACACUGGGACUGAGUAACGGCCCAGACGCCUACGGGAGGCAGUAGGAUGGAAUCUUCGGCAAUGGACGAAAGUCUGACCGAGCCACCCCGAGUGAGUGAAGAAGGUAUUAGGAUCGUAAAUCUCUGUUGUUAGAGCAGCGGUAUCUAAACCGAAAGCCACGCCUAACUACGUGACAGCAGCCGCGGUAAUUC